rnacentral:rRNA from 1 species
UACGAAGGGGGCUAGCGUUGCUCGGAAUCACUGGGCGUAAAGCGCACGUAGGCGGACUCUUAAGUCGGGGGUGAAAUCCUGGAGCUCAACUCCAGAACUGCCUUCGAUACUGGGAGUCUUGAGUUCGGGAGAGGUGAGUGGAACUGCGAGUGUAGAGGUGAAAUUCGUAGAUAUUCGCAAGAACACCAGUGGCGAAGGCGGCUCACUGGCCCGAUAC